UUUCACGUUAGUGGUGUGUAUAGCUAUAGCUACACAACCGGAUAUAGGGUAUUCUUUAAGAAAAUAUAGUUAUGAUGAAGUUAUAGGCAUUUUAAUUUCUCUAUUAGGUUUACCAUUUACGGUUUUAAACCAUCAUUAUUUAAUCAAGUUAUUUUUUGACGCAUCAAAUAAGUCUAAGGUUGGAAUUCCGGCUAAAAGAUAUACAUGUGCCUAAAAAAAAAGUGCAUGAGACACAUGUGACAUGGUUACAUAGUUUUUCUUAGUACGCACUGCCAAUUUUGGGGCCAAUGAGAUGCACAAAGUCUUCAAAAAAUAUGAGAACUUCC
rnacentral:lncRNA from 1 species